AGGGAGAGACGGAGACGGAGAGCGCUAGCUGCAGUUGAGGCGCCGUUGCAGAGCCAGAGGAACCCCUUAAGCAUGCAGACAAGUAAAGGAGAGAAGUGAAGAGCAUUUACCAGCAGCAGCCGUGGCGACAGCAGCAGGUUGAGCAGCCGGAACACCUCCUCACACCACCUCCGUGAGCAUUCCCCACUGCCAAAGAGAUAAGCUACUUCAGGUGAAUUAUUGGCUGCUAUGGAGAAGAUAUGGAGAGAGGUUUGGAUUGAGACUACGGUCCGAACGAGAUGGCCGAAAGGAGCAUGGGUUGUAUCUCAUGAGGACUUUGAAAAUGUGUUUGGCAGAAACCCGAUGAAUCUGAUCAAGAGUAAUUUAAACUAAUCUUCUGAGGAAUAGACACAAAAGCCCAACAGUACAAAGACCUGAACAAGUGAGACACAGCUCGCCCACCCAGACAUGUAUUUUGUCCUUUCUGUGCUCCCCUCAGUUUUCUUCUGGUGCCCCCACCAACAGAAGAG